ACGCUAGCUACAGGCUUAACACAUGCAAGUCGAGGGGAAACGGCAUUGAGUGCUUGCACUCUAUGGACGUCGACCGGCGCACGGGUGAGUAACGCGUAUCCAACCUUCCCAUUACUAAGGGAUAACCUGCCGAAAGGCAGACUAAUACCUUAUAUUCUUCUUUGAUGGCAUCAGAUUUGAAUCAAAGAUUUAUCGGUAAUGGAUGGGGAUGCGUCUGAUUAGCUUGUUGGCGGGGUAACGGCCCACCAAGGCAACGAUCAGUAGGGGUUCUGAGAGGAAGGUCCCCCACGUUGGAACUGAGACACGGUCCAAACUCCUACGGGAGGCAGCAGUGAGGAAUAUUGGUCAAUGGACGGAAGUCUGAACCAGCCAAGUAGCGUGCAGGAUGACGGCCCUAUGGGUUGUAAACUGCUUUUGUAUGGGGAUAAAGUUAGGGACGUGUCCCUAUUUGCAGGUACCAUACGAAUAAGGACCGGCUAAUUCCGUGCCAGCAGCCGCGGUAAUACGGAAGGUCCAGGCGUUAUCCGGAUUUAUUGGGUUUAAAGGGAGCGUAGGCUGGAGAUUAAGUGUGUUGUGAAAUGUAGACGCUCAACGUCUGACUUGCAGCGCAUACUGGUUUCCUUGAGUACGCACAACGUUGGCGGAAUUCGUCGUGUAGCGGUGAAAUGCUUAGAUAUGACGAAGAACUCCGAUUGCGAAGGCAGCUGACGGGAGCGCAACUGACGCUUAAGCUCGAAGGUGCGGGUAUCAAACAGGAUUAGAUACCCUGGUAGUCCGCACAGUAAACGAUGGAUGCCCGCUGUUGGUACCUGGUAUCAGCGGCUAAGCGAAAGCAUUAAGCAUCCCACCUGGGGAGUACGCCGGCAACGGUGAAACUCAAAGGAAUUGACGGGGGCCCGCACAAGCGGAGGAACAUGUG
rnacentral:rRNA from 1 species